GUCCACGCCGUAAACGAUGAGUGCUAGAUAUCGGGAGAUUUGUCUUUCGGUUUCGAAGCUAACGCGUUAAGCACUCCGCCUGGGGAGUACGGUCGCAAGAUUAAAACUCAAAGGAAUUGACGGGGGCUCGCACAAGCGGUGGAGCAUGCGGUUUAAUUCGACGCUACGCGAAAAACCUUACCAAUCCUUGACAUGGUGGUUACGGAUUACAGAGAUGUUUUCUUCAGUUUGGCUGGACCACACACAGGUGUUGCAUGGCU
rnacentral:rRNA from 1 species